UACGAAGGGGGCUAGCGUUGCUCGGAAUCACUGGGCGUAAAGCGCACGUAGGCGGACUCUUAAGUCGGUGGUGAAAUCCUGGAGCUCAACUCCAGAACUGCCUUCGAUACUGGGAGUCUCGAGUUCGGGAGAGGUGAGUGGAACUGCGAGUGUAGAGGUGAAAUUCGUAGAUAUUCGCAAGAACACCAGUGGCGAAGGCGGCUCACUGGCCCGAUACUGACGCUGAGGUGCGAAAGCGUGGGGAGCAAACGGG
rnacentral:rRNA from 1 species